AAACGAUGAGUGCUAAGUGUUGGAGGUUUCCCCUUCAGUGCUGCAGCUAACGCAUUAAGCACUCCGCUGGGGAGUACGACCGCAAGGUUGAAACUCAAAGGAAUUGACGGGGGCCCGCACAAGCGGUGGAGCAUGUGGUUUAAUUCGAAGCAACGCGAAGAACCUUACCAGGUCUUGACAUCCUUUGACCACUCUAGAGAUAGAGCUUUCCCUUCGGGGACAAAGUGACAGGUGGUGCAUGGUUGUCGUCAGCUCGUGUCGUGAGAUGUUGGGUUAAGUCCCGCAACGAGCGCAACCCUUAUUGUUAGUUGCCAUCAUUCAGUUGGGCACUCUAGCGAGACUGCCGGUGACAAACCGGAGGAAGGUGGGGAUGACGUCAAAUCAUCAUGCCCCUUAUGACCUGGGCUACACACGUGCUACAAUGGGAAGUACAACGAGUCGCUAGGCCGCGAGGUCAUGCAAAUCUCUUAAAGCUUCUCUCAGUUCGGAUUGCAGGCUGCAACUCGCCUGCAUGAAGCCGGAAUCGCUAGUAAUCGCGGAUCAGCACGCCGCGGUGAAUACGUUCCCGGGCCUUGUACACACCGCCCGUCACACCACGAAAGUUUGUAACACCCGAAGUCGGUGAGGUAACCUUUUGGAGCCAGCCGCCUAAGGUGGGAUAGAUGAUUGGGGUGAAGUCGUAACAAGGUAACCAAGGGCGAAUUCUG
rnacentral:rRNA from 1 species